rnacentral:rRNA from 1 species
CAGUCGCCACGGUAAUACGGAGGAUCCAAGCGUUAUCCGGAUUUAUUGGGUUUAAAGGGUGCGUAGGUGGCCUGUUAAGUCAGGGGUGAAAGACGGUAGCUUAACUAUCGCAGUGCCUUUGAUACUGACGGGCUUGAAUACACUAGAGGUAGGCGGAAUGUGACAAGUAGCGGUGAAAUGCAUAGAUAUGUCACAGAACACCAAUUGCGAAGGCAGCUUACUAUGGUUUUAUUGACACUGAGGCACGAAAGCGUGGGGAUCAAACAGGAUUAGAUACCCCUGUAGUCCCUGUCUCUUAUAC